rnacentral:lncRNA from 1 species
CCAGAGUGACAUUCAAACUAAAAAAUAGAAAAUCUACUGACAACACCAUGACUAAAAAAGAUAAAGACAAAUAGACAAACAAUAGUACAUAAAACGCUACAUAAAAAACUAAAGACUAAGCAAUACGAAACCCACCAAAAACUGGAGGUGAUCUCGGGUGCUCUGGAAGUGUAAGAAGAUCCUGCUCCACAUGUGGCACCUGUCAUGUUGUUCAUGUUAGUACAAACCCGAUAACAAGUCUUCACAUUCGUGAAAAGGAAAUGGGAUUAUGAAUAUAAUUUACGACGCUAUAAUUUCAACUUCACCAUUUCGAAUUCUUAAUUUAAUAGUUUUCUUGUGAUUAGCAACCCUCC